rnacentral:lncRNA from 1 species
GCAUCAGACCUGCAGAAAAACUAAACUCCUUCCACAUGCAUAUACACUGAACAAGGGAGUGGAGCAGGAAGACUUAUGAUAGGCAGCUGUGACACUUAAAGGUCAUCCCUAAAUAUAAAUCAACUACACCAGAAACAGAAACAGUAACAGUACCAUUUGAUGAUGAUGACUAAUCUUGUAUAGAAAAUACUGAAUACUUAAGGGAAGCAAUUCACAUGCUACAAUUGUUCAUUUAUUGGCUGCUGAACAGAUCUUUUCUGAACCUCUUAGAGAGCUGCUUUUGUCAACACGCUAAAAAGAAUGUUCAAAUUAUGUGUUGAAUGAAAGUUUAGUGUGU